UACGUAGGGUGCAAGCGUUGCCCGGAAUUAUUGGGCGUAAAGAGCUCGUAGGCGGUCUGUCGCGUCGGCUGUGAAAACUCGGGGCUCAACCCCGAGCCUGCAGUCGAUACGGGCAGACUAGAGUGCUGUAGGGGAGACUGGAAUUCCUGGUGUAGCGGUGAAAUGCGCAGAUAUCAGGAGGAACACCGGUGGCGAAGGCGGGUCUCUGGGCAGUAACUGACGCUGAGGAGCGAAAGCGUGGGGAGCGAACAGG
rnacentral:rRNA from 1 species